rnacentral:lncRNA from 1 species
AUCAUCCGAGCUGUUGGCAUGUGGCCUGUUCCUGAACCCCCAGUUACUGGAACCCCCAGGAUGAUGAGAAGCGAGGGAUGCAAACCAGGAACCCCCAGUCUCAUGGGGAGAACGGAGCCUCACCCUGGAGCUGGGGAGAUCGUCUGGACCCAGGGGCUGAUGAUGAUGGGGAAAUCACCUACGAGAAUGUUCAAGUGCCCGCAGUCCUAGGGGUGCCCUCAAGCUUGGCUUCUUCUGUACUAGGGGACAAAGCAGCGGUCAAGUCGGAGCAGCCAACUGCGUCCUGGAGAGCCGUGACGUCACCAGCUGUCGGGCGGAUUCUCCCCUGUGAGUGUGCCUGUGCGGGGCAGCCGCGGGGCCAAGUGCUCGCGCCUGUCCCGGCUGCGGAUGGCGCUGGGCCCCGCGGGGUGCAGCUCCUUCCGGGAUAAACCCGGGCGCAGUCCUUCCGACGCCCGGGCUGCCGUGCCACAUUCACCUUCAUCCGGUGCGCCUGAAUCCGACGUGCACCGCCCCCCUGCGGAUGGUCCCAAUUCACCUACCUGCCCCCCUUCCCCUCUCUCCGUCUGAUAUUUCCUUCCCCUUCUCCCAGGUAACGCCCCCGAGUCCCCACCAGCACUGAUUCUGGAACACCCUCUCCCCUACCUGCGAAACACCCCGCUACCCGACAGAAACCACCAUGCUUGCCCCCUCAGCUCUGCACCGCCCUCCUCUUAGGGAUGCCUUCCCCAGGGGUCUCCCCCACGGACCUGUCCCUUCCUCUCUACAUUCUUUACGGGGGCUGACUGCCCUCAUCCAUCCCACUGUCCCCCUAAGGCCGCACAACCUGCCUGCGAUACCUCCUGCUCGGCCUGCUCCUCACCUGCCUGCUGUUAGGAGUGACCGCCAUCUGCCUGGGAGUGCGCUGUGAGUAAGGCUGUCCCUACUUCCCACUUACACC